rnacentral:sRNA from 1 species
GUGAGUCUGCGUGGAAGAGGGGUGCGGUUGUGUACAGGGAACUGAAUCCCCAGACAGAAGAAAGCCAGGAUCCUGCGCCUUUCCUGAACCGACUAGUUCGGCCUCGCAGAAGUGCACCUAAAGGCCGGAAAACACGGGCUCGAAGAGCGAUCGCAGCCCAUUAUGAAGUUCAUCCACGACCUGGACAGGACGGAGCGCAGGCAGGUGUGGACGGGACAGUGAGUGGCUGGGAGGAAGCCAGAAUCAACAGCUCCAGCCCUCUGCGCUACAACCGCCAGAUCGGGGAGUUUAUAGUCACCCGGGCUGGGCUCUACUACCUGUACUGUCAGGUGCACUUUGAUGAGGGGAAGGCUGUCUACCUGAAGCUGGACUUGCUGGUGGAUGGUGUGCUGGCCCUGCGCUGCCUGGAGGAAUUCUCAGCCACUGCGGCGAGUUCCCUCGGGCCCCAGCUCCGCCUCUGCCAGGUGUCUGGGCUGUUGGCCCUGCGGCCAGGGUCCUCCCUGCGGAUCCGCACCCUCCCCUGGGCCCAUCUCAAGGCUGCCCCCUUCCUCACCUACUUCGGACUCUUCCAGGUUCACUGAGGGGCCCUGGUCUCCCCGCAGUCGUCCCAGGCUGCCGGCUCCCCUCGACAGCUCUCUGGGCACCCGGUCUCCUCUGCCCCACCCUCAGCUGCUCUUUGCUCCAGACCUGCCCCUCCCUCUAGAGGCUGCCUGGGCCUGUUCACGUGUUUUCCAUCCCACAUAAAUACAGUAUUCCCACUCUUAUCUUACAACUCCCCCCACCGCCCACUCUCCACCUCACUAGCU